rnacentral:rRNA from 1 species
AUUGAACGCUGGCGGCAGGCCUAACACAUGCAAGUCGAACGAGUGGCGGACGGGUGAGUAAUGUCUGGGAAACUGCCCGAUGGAGGGGGAUAACUACUGGAAACGGUAGCUAAUACCGCAUACCAUCGGAUGAGCCCAUAUGGGAUUAGCUAGUAGGUGGGGUAACGGCUCACCUAGGCGACGAUCCCUAGCUGGUCUGAGAGGAUGACCAGCCACACGGGAACUGAGACACGGUCCAGCCUCCUACGGUAGGCGGCAUGGGGGAAUAUUGCACAAUGGGCGCAAGCCGGAUGCAGCCAUGCCGGGUGUAUGAAGAGGGCCUUCGGGUUGUAAAGUACUUUCAGCGAGGAGGCGUUACUCGCAGAAGAAGCACCGGCUAACUCCGUGCCAGCAGCCGCGGUAAUUC